GAGAAAUAGAGAGAAAGAGCGAGAGAAAGAGAGACAGAAACAGAGACUGACAUGAGGAUAGAAGGAGGGAUUUAGAGUGUUCUGUCAAUCACAUUCCAAGCCACCCCCCACCCAUCCUGUUAAGGAAGUCCUGCUUUUCAUAUACUAAGCACAUAGCUACCUCUUUCCAUCAUAAGCAUGUGUGUGCAUCAACAGAGGAAAAACCAACAGGGGGAAGAAAAAGGAAAAGAGAGAACGAAUGUGUAUGUGUGUGUGUGAGAGAGAGAGAGAGAGAGAGAGAGAGAGAGAGAGAGAGAGAGAGAGAGAGAGAGAGAGAGAGAGAAAGCCAGAGAGAGAGGGAGAGAGAAAAAGCCAGAGGGAGAUAACAUAGAUUAUGUAAAGGUCAAGCUGCAGGCAUGAGGGAAGAACAGAACACAACAGUGGGUUCUAGUCCCAGUCUGCAUCCAGAGCUCUCUCUCUGUUCCUCCUCUCUAGUUUAGGGUACUGCAGUCAGAAGAAGCCUGGAGCCUUGGCCUUAUAUAGUGUGUUUUCAACUUUGUUGGCCGCAGACGGAUUGAACAGAAGCCAGCAGCAUUAAGUGUGGAUCCUGGAGAAGUUGAGAGGUGUGUGCGUACACACACACGCUCAUGCACGUGCUUGUGCACACACGCACAGAUUCACUGGCUUGCUGGUCUGGCACGCGUUUGGGAUUACUCCUGUUGUUUUGCGCGGAGGGGGGACAGACAGCGGAGAGUGUCUCUAUUUGGUAUCUGGAGGGAGAGAGACAGUAGAGAGGGGAGAGAGAGAACGAGGGAGAAGGAGAAAGAGGGAAGGAGAGAGAAAGUGAGAGAAGUCCAUCGUAGAACAGGUCCUGGCAGAUGCAUGUGUGGCACCUACCGGAUCACCUACCAAGCCGCCGGCCACUCCUCAGCUGCCGUUGAAGCAUGUAGAAACUCCGGUAA